rnacentral:rRNA from 1 species
UACCAGCACCCCGAGUGGUCGGGACGAUUAUUGGGCCUAAAGCAUCCGUAGCCGGUUCUACAAGUCUUCCGUUAAAUCCACCUGCUCAACAGUUGGGCUGCGGAGGAUACUAUAGAGCUAGGAGGCGGGAGAGGCAAGCGGUACUUAGUGGGUAGGGGUAAAAUCCGUUGAUCCAUUGAAGACCACCAGUGGCGAAGGCGGCUUGCCAGAACGCACUCGACGGUGAGGGAUGAAAGCUGGGGGGAGCAAACGGG